AUUGAACGCUGGCGGCAUGCCUUACACAUGCAAGUCGAACGGCAGCGCGGGAGCAAUCCUGGCGGCGAGUGGCGAACGGGUGAGUAAUAUAUCGGAACGUGCCCAGUAGUGGGGGAUAGCCCGGCGAAAGCCGGAUUAAUACCGCAUACGAACUGAGGGUGAAAGGGGGGGAUCGCAAGACCUCUCGCUAUUGGAGCGGUCGAUAUCAGAUUAGGUAGUUGGUGGGGUAAGGGCCUACCAAGCCUGCGAUCUGUAGUUGGUCUGAGAGGACGACCAGCCACACUGGGACUGAGACACGGCCCAGACCCCUACGGGAGGCAGCAGUGGGGAAUUUUGGACAAUGGGCGCAAGCCUGAUCCAGCAAUGCCGCGUGCAGGAAGAAGGCCUUCGGGUUGUAAACUGCUUUUGUCAGGGAAGAAAUCCUCUAGGCUAAUACCUUGGGGGGAUGACGGUACCUGAAGAAUAAGCACCGGCUAACUACGUGCCAGCCGCCGCCGUAA
rnacentral:rRNA from 1 species